rnacentral:rRNA from 1 species
UACGUAGGUGGCAAGCGUUGUCCGGAUUUACUGGGCGUAAAGAGCGCGCAGGCGGUCGUUCAAGUCGCGUGUGAAAGCCCCCCGGCUCAACUGGGGAGGGUCACGCGAUACUGAUCGACUGGAAGGCAGGAGAGGGUAGUGGAAUUCCCGGUGUAGUGGUGAAAAUGCGUAGAUAUCGGGAGGAACACCAGUGGCGAAGGCGACUACCUGGCCUGUUCUUGACGCUGAGGCGCGAAAGCUAGGGGAGCAAACGGGG